CACUGUUCUCUUUAACAAAAGAGUGCAAUGCAAUGAUUAGUUAGCUCAAGAAACUUCUUGCUUGUAUUUUUGAAGACAGGAGUAGAAGACUUACAAGAUCAGAGAAGGUACACAGCCCACAUUCACACUGAUAUAACAAGAACUCUUGAAUUUAAAAAUUUAUACACAUUACUAAUAAACCACUUUUCAUCUCGCCAGUUGGUAUUUUUUUUUAAGUAGAUAUCUAAUGUUUGUUCAUUAGU
rnacentral:lncRNA from 1 species